rnacentral:rRNA from 1 species
UGGGAAAUUGCCCUGAUGUGGGGGAUAACCAUUGGAAACGAUGGCUAAUACCGCAUAAUAGCUUCGGCUCAAAGAGGGGGACCUUCGGGCCUCUCGCGUCAGGAUAUGCCCAGGUGGGAUUAGCUAGUUGGUGAGGUAAUGGCUCACCAAGGCGACGAUCCCUAGCUGGUCUGAGAGGAUGAUCAGCCACACUGGAACUGAGACACGGUCCAGACUCCUACGGGAGGCAGCAGUGGGGAAUAUUGCACAAUGGGCGCAAGCCUGAUGCAGCCAUGCCGCGUGUAUGAAGAAGGCCUUCGGGUUGUAAAGUACUUUCAGCAGUGAGGAAGGCGGAGUCGUUAAUAGCGGCCUCGUUUGACGUUAGCUGCAGAAGAAGCACCGGCUAACUCCGUGCCAGCAGCCGCGGUAAUACGGAGGGUGCGAGCGUUAAUCGGAAUUACUGGGCGUAAAGCGCAUGCAGGUGGUUUGUUAAGUCAGAUGUGAAAGCCCGGGGCUCAACCUCGGAAUUGCAUUUGAAACUGGCAGACUAGAGUACUGUAGAGGGGGGUAGAAUUUCAGGUGUAGCGGUGAAAUGCGUAGAGAUCUGAAGGAAUACCGGUGGCGAAGGCGGCCCCCUGGACAGAUACUGACACUCAGA